rnacentral:ncRNA from 2 species
CCCCAGGUCAGGCGGGAUUACCC